UCUUGGUCAAUUUAGAGGAAGUAAAAGUCGUAACAAGGUUUCCGUAGGUGAACCUGCGGAAGGAUCAUUAUCGAGUUAAAGAAACGGGUUGUAGCUGGCCUUACGAGGCAUGUGCACGCCCUGCUCAUCCACUCUACACCUGUGCACUUUACUGUGGGUUUCAGGAGCUUCGAAAGCGGAGGGCCUUUGCGGGCCUUUCGUUAUUAGUUGUGACUGGGCUCAUGUUCACUACAAACCCUUAUAAAGUAACAGAAUGUGUAUUGCGAUGUAACGCAUCUAUAUACAACUUUCAGCAACGGAUCUCUUGGCUCUCGCAUCGAUGAAGAACGCAGCGAAAUGCGAUAAGUAAUGUGAAUUGCAGAAUUCAGUGAAUCAUCGAAUCUUUGAACGCACCUUGCGCUCCUUGGUAUUCCGAGGAGCAUGCCUGUUUGAGUGUCAUGAAAUUCUCAACCUGACGGGUUCUUAACGGGACUUGCUUUCAGGCUUGGACUUGGAGGCUUGUCGGCUUGCUUGUCGAGUCGGCUCCUCUCAAAUGCAUUAGCUUGGUUCUUUGCGGAUCGGCUCCACGGUGUGAUAAUUGUCUACGCCGCGACCGUUGAAGCGUUUGAAUGGGCCAGCUUACAAUCGUCUCCAUCGCGAGACAACAUUCAUCGAACUCUGACCUCAAAUCAGGUAGGACUACCCGCUGAACUUAAGCAUAUCAAUAAGCGGAGGAAAAGAAACUAACAAGGAUUCCCCUAGUAACUGCGAGUGAAGCGGGAAAAGCUCAAAUUUAAAAUCUGGCGGUCCUUGGCCGUCCGAGUUGUAGUCUGGAGAAGUGCUUUCCGCGCUGGACCGUGUAUAAGUCUCUUGGAACAGAGCGUCAUAGAGGGUGAGAAUCCCGUCUUUGACACGGACUACCAGUGCUUUGUGAUGCGCUCUCAAAGAGUCGAGUUGUUUGGGAAUGCAGCUCAAAAUGGGUGGUGAAUUCCAUCUAAAGCUAAAUAUUGGCGAGAGACCGAUAGCGAACAAGUACCGUGAGGGAAAGAUGAAAAGCACUUUGGAAAGAGAGUUAAACAGUACGUGAAAUUGCUGAAAGGGAAACGCUUGAAGUCAGUCGCGUCUGCCGGAACUCAGCCUUCCUUUUGGUUGGUGCAUUUUCUGGUAGACGGGCCAGCAUCGAUUUUGACCGUCGGAAAAGGGCUGGGGAAAUGUGGCACCUUUUGGUGUGUUAUAGUCUUCAGUCGCAUACGGCGGUCGGGAUCGAGGAACGCAGCGCGCCGCAAGGCAGGGGUUCGCCCAC
rnacentral:rRNA from 1 species